rnacentral:tRNA from 1 species
GCCCCGGUAGCUCAGCUCGGUAGAGCGCCGCUCUGGUAAGAACUAGUCCUCGAGAGGCGGAGGUCCCGGGUUCAAACCCCGGCCGGGGCU